CAGCCGUAAACUAUGCUCGCUAGGUGUCAGGCAUGGCGCGACCGUGUCUGGUGCCGCAGGGAAGCCGUGAAGCGAGCCACCUGGGAAGUACGGCCGCAAGGCUGAAACUUAAAGGAAUUGGCGGGGGAGCACAACAACGGGUGGAGCCUGCGGUUUAAUUGGACCCAACGCCGGACAACUCACCGGGGACGACAGCAAUAUGUAGGCCAGGCUGAAGACCUUGCCUGAAUCGCUGAGAGGAGGUGCAUGGCGUAGACGUCU
rnacentral:rRNA from 1 species